AUUGAACGCUGGCGGCAGGCUUAACACAUGCAAGUCGAGCGGAGCGAGGGUGCUUGCACCUUAGCUUAGCGGCGGACGGGUGAGUAAUGCUUAGGAAUCUGCCUAUUAGUGGGGGACAACAUUCCGAAAGGGAUGCUAAUACCGCAUACGCCCUACGGGGGAAAGCAGGGGAUCUUCGGACCUUGCGCUAAUAGAUGAGCCUAAGUCGGAUUAGCUAGUUGGUGGGGUAAAGGCCUACCAAGGCGACGAUCUGUAGCGGGUCUGAGAGGAUGAUCCGCCACACUGGGACUGAGACACGGCCCAGACUCCUACGGGAGGCAGCAGUGGGGAUUAUUGGACAAUGGGCGGAAGCCUGAUCCAGCCAUGCCGCGUGUGUGAAGAAGGCCUUUUGGUUGUAAAGCACUUUAAGCGAGGAGGAGGCUACUAGUAUUAAUACUACUGGAUAGUGGACGUUACUCGCAGAAUAAGCACCGGCUAACUCUGUGCCAGCCGCCGCCGUAAAAC
rnacentral:rRNA from 1 species